GUUUUGGGGUGUGUGGGAGGAGAGGAAAAACACCUACAAAUAGCUGGCACGAUUCAAAUGGUCUCGGAUUAUGUUUCCCCCCCUCCAGUCCAGGAAGGAAACUCGCGUUUUAACGCUGCGAGGGGGAAAAAAUAGCUCUGUGCAAUAGGGGAUGAAGAGCACUUUGGUCAUUCGUUAAUACCCAAAGGGGCAGAGAUGAUAAAUGUGACAGCAUGUGGCAGCACGACCGUCACCCGGGUUCCUGCAAAAGGCGGCUCCGUAUCGCGACACGGGAAAUUAAGCGAUUGAGUGGGAGGUGGAGAAAGCGCUUAAACGGAGAAGUUAAUCUGCUAACAUGGAGAGGAAACAAACGGAGGAAAAAAAGCCUGAAGUACAAAACACCAAACUUUUGGGCUCAAAAGCCUAGACCAUCAUGGCUACGAAAACUACUGCUGCUGAGUGAGAGAGUAUGUAAUUCUGGAGUUCCUUAAGGAAAAAAGUACUGCAAUGCAACAUUAGAACAGUGGCCAAGUGAUCUUCUCCACAGCACCCAUGAACUUCAACCUUGAACUGAAGAAGAUUCAUCAAAUGGAAAGACAGUAUGGAGUUGAAGAGAAGCAAUGAUCUCCAAUGAUCUCCAUGAAGGGCUGUCAGUUAUAGUCGGCGUCGGCAUGCUUGGUUGGUCUGCCAGCUGAUAUGUGUAGCUCAGACCUGGCCACAAUGUGAGUUGCCUCCUGUUCUCCUAGACAUC